CACGUAGGCGGACCAUCAAGUUGGGGGUGAAAUCCCGGGGCUCAACCCCGGAACUGCCUUCAAAACUGCUGGUCUGGAGGUCGAGAGAGGUGAGUGGAAUUCCGAGUGUAGAGGUGAAAUUCGUAGAUAUUCGGAGGAACACCAGUGGCGAAGGCGGCUCACUGGCUCGAUACUGACGCUGAGGUGCGAAAGCGUGGGGAGCAAACA
rnacentral:rRNA from 1 species